AUGCUACCACCCCUAAGUACUCCAAGGGCAGGUAUGAGGAAAUUGUGAAGGAAGUUUCUUCCUACUUGAAGAAGGUUGGUUACAACCCAGACAAAAUUCCUUUCGUUCCCAUCUCUGGUUUUGAGGGAGACAACAUGAUUGAGAGGUCCACCAACCUUGACUGGUACAAGGGACCAACUCUACUUGAUGCUCUUGACAACAUCAAUGAGCCAAAGAGACCCUCGGACAAGCCCCUCAGGCUUCCAUUGCAAGAUGUUUACAAGAUUGGUGGUAUUGGAACUGUGCCAGUGGGACGUGUUGAAACUGGUGUUGUGAAGCCCGGUAUGCUUGUGACUUUUGCUCCUACUGGUUUGACAACUGAGGUUAAGUCCGUUGAGAUGCACCACGAGGCUCUCACCGAGGCUCUUCCAGGAGACAAUGUCGGAUUCAAUGUUAAGAAUGUUGCAGUGAAGGAUCUCAAGCGUGGUUUUGUUGCAUCCAACUCCAAGGAUGACCCUGCCAAGGAAGCUGCCAACUUCACAUCCCAGGUCAUCAUCAUGAACCACCCUGGACAGAUUGGAAAUGGUUAUGCACCAGUGCUCGAUUGCCACACUUCUCACAUUGCUGUGAAGUUUGCUGAACUUAUCACCAAGAUUGACAGGCGAUCUGGUAAGGAGAUUGAGAAGGAGCCCAAGUUUUUGAAGAAUGGUGAUGCCGGUAUGGUUAAGAUGAUUCCAACCAAGCCCAUGGUGGUGGAAACUUUUGCUGAGUAUCCUCCUCUUGGUCGUUUUGCUGUGAGGGACAUGAGACAAACGGUUGCUGUCGGAGUCAUCAAGAGUGUGGAGAAGAAGGACCCAACUGGAGCCAAGGUCACCAAAGCUGCAGCCAAGAAGAAGUGAUUUCACUCCAUGGUUACUUCCUAUGUUGUUUCUUUAUAGUAGUUUAUCAUAUUUUCAGAGUCUUAGUUUUUUGCUUUUCCGGUUUUGUUUUCCCUGUAUUAACUUACAGAAUUGGGUUCUUGAUCGGCGAUGGUACUGUUUUUCGUGUUAAUUAUGUUGGUAUUGAGAACUUCAUUUUCAAAAGGUAGCAGAGGUUUUAUAUCUUCAAAUUGCUGCUGAGGGAUGUUAAAGUUUAAUUUAAUUUAUAAAAGAGUUUUGUUAUGUCUA